UAGGGAAUCUUCGGCAAUGGACGAAAGUCUGACCGAGCAACGCCGCGUGAGUGAAGAAGGUUUUCGGAUCGUAAAACUCUGUUGUUAGAGAAGAACAAGGACGUUAGUAACUGAACGUCCCCUGACGGUAUCUAACCAGAAAGCCACGGCUAACUACGUGCCAGCAGCCGCGGUAAUACGUAGGUGGCAAGCGUUGUCCGGAUUUAUUGGGCGUAAAGCGAGCGCAGGCGGUUUCUUAAGUCUGAUGUGAAAGCCCCCGGCUCAACCGGGGAGGGUCAUUGGAAACUGGGAGACUGGAGUGGAGAAGAGGAGAGUGGAAUUCCAUGUGUAGCGGUGAAAUGCGUAGAGAUAUGGAGGAACACCAGUGGCGAAGGCGGCUCUCUGGUCUGUAACUGACGCUGAGGCUCGAAAGCGUGGGGAGCAAACAGG
rnacentral:rRNA from 1 species